UACGGGGGGGGCAAGCGUUGUUCGGCAUUACUGGGCGUAAAGGGCUCGUAGGCGGCCAACUAAGUCCGACGUGAAAUCCCCAGGCUUAACCUGGGAACUGCGUCGGAUACUGGAUGGCUUGAAUUCGGGAGAGGGAUGCAGAAUUCCAGGUGUAGCGGUGAAAUGCGUAGAUAUCUGGAGGAAUACCGGUGGCGAAGGCGGCAUCCUGGACCGGCAUUGACGCUGAGGCGCGAAAGCCAGGGGAGCAAACGGG
rnacentral:rRNA from 1 species